rnacentral:rRNA from 1 species
GAUGAACGCUGGCGGCGUGCCUAAUACAUGCAAGUCGAGCGAACAGACGAGGAGCUUGCUCCUCUGACGUUAGCGGCGGACGGGUGAGUAACACGUGGAUAACCUACCUAUAAGACUGGGAUAACUUCGGGAAACCGGAGCUAAUACCGGAUAAUAUAUUGAACCGCAUGGUUCAAUAGUGAAAGACGGUUUUGCUGUCACUUAUAGAUGGAUCCGCGCCGCAUUAGCUAGUUGGUAAGGUAACGGCUUACCAAGGCAACGAUGCGUAGCCGACCUGGGAGGGUGAUCGGCCACACUGGAACUGAGACACGGUCCAGACUCCUACGGGAGGCAGCAGUAGGGAAUCUUCCGCAAUGGGCGAAAGCUUGACGGAGCAACGCCGCGUGAGUGAUGAAGGUCUUCGGAUCGUAAAACUCUGUUAUUAGGGAAGAGCAAAUGUGUAAGUAACUAUGCACGUCUUGACGGUACCUAAUCAGAAAGCCACGGCUAACUACGUG